rnacentral:rRNA from 1 species
GAUGAACGCUAGCGGCAGGCUUAACACAUGCAAGUCGAGGGGCAACACGGGUAGCAAUACCUGGUGGCGACCGGCGCAAGGGUGCGUAACGCGUGAGCAACAUGCCCUAUACAGGGGGAUAAUCCAGGGAAACUUGGUCUAAUAUCCCAUAGUAUUUAGAGGUGGCAUCACCACUAAAUUAAAGCUUCGGUGGUAUAGGAUUGGCUCGCGUGACAUUAGCUUGAUGGUGGGGUAACGGCUCACCAUGGCGAUGAUGUCUAGGGGUUCUGAGAGGAAGACCCCCCCACACUGGGACUGAGACACGGCCCAGACUCCUACGGGAGGCAGCAGUGAGGAAUAUUGGACAAUGGAUGGAAAUCUGAUCCAGCCAUGCCGCGUGCAGGAAGACGGCCCUAUGGGUUGUAAACUGCUUUUAUAUGGGAGCAAUAAGGUUUACGCGUAGACCGAUGAGAGUACCAUAUGAAUAAGCAUCGGCUAACU